GACGAACGCUGGCGGCGUGCUUAACACAUGCAAGUCGAACGGAAAGGCCCUGCUUGCAGGGUACUCGAGUGGCGAACGGGUGAGUAACACGUGGGUGAUCUGCCCUGCACUUCGGGAUAAGCCUGGGAAACUGGGUCUAAUACCGGAUAGGAGCCAUUUUUAGUGUGAUGGUUGGAAAGUUUUUUCGGUUUUGGAUGAGCUCGCGGCCUAUCAGCUUGUUUGUGGGGUAAUUGCCUACCAAGGCGGCGACGGGUAGCCGGCCUGAGAGGGUGGACGGCCACAUUGGGACUGAGAUACGGCCCAGACUCCUACGGGAGGCAGCAGUGGGGAAUAGUGCACAAGGGGCGCAAGCAUGAUGCAGCGACGCCGCGUGGGGGAUGACGGCCUUCGGGUUGUAAACUCCUUUCGCUAGGGACGAAGCUGUUGUGACGGUACCUAGAUAAGAAGCACCGGCUAACUACGUG
rnacentral:rRNA from 1 species